GAAGAAGCUUGCUUCUUUGCUGACGAGUGGCGGACGGGUGAGUAAUGCUUAGGGAUCUGCCCAGAGGUGGGGGACAACAGUUGGAAACGACUGCUAAUACCGCAUGAUGCCUACGGGCCAAAGGGGGCUUCGGCUCUCGCCUUUGGAGGAACCUAAGUGAGAUUAGCUAGUUGGUGAGGUAAUGGCUCACCAAGGCGACGAUCUCUAGCUGGUCUGAGAGGAUGAUCAGCCACACUGGAACUGAGACACGGUCCAGACUCCUACGGGAGGCAGCAGUGGGGAAUAUUGCACAAUGGGGGAAACCCUGAUGCAGCCAUGCCGCGUGUGUGAAGAAGGCCUUCGGGUUGUAAAGCACUUUCAGUAGCGAGGAAAAGUUAUUGGUUAAUACCCAAUAGCCUUGACGUUAACUACAGAAGAAGCACCGGCUAACUCCGUGCCAGCAGCCGCGGUAAUACGGAGGGUGCGAGCGUUAAUCGGAAUUACUGGGCGUAAAGCGCAUGCAGGCGGUCUGUUAAGCCAGAUGUGAAAGCCCGGGGCUCAACCCCGGAAUAGCAUUUGGAACUGGCAGACUAGAGUUUUGUAGAGGGGGGUAGAAUUUCAGGUGUAGCGGUGAAAUGCGUAGAGAUCUGAAGGAAUACCAGUGGCGAAGGCGGCCCCCUGGACAAAAACUGACGCUCAGAUGCGAAAGCGUGGGUAGCAAACAGGAUUAGAUACCCUGGUAGUCCACGCCGUAAACGAUGUCAACUAGUUGCUUGUAGCUUUUACGCUGUGGGUGACGGAGCUAACGCAUUAAGUUGACCGCCU
rnacentral:rRNA from 1 species